UAAAUAAACGUAUAAAAUACCAUGUUAAAAAAAUAUUUUCUUCCUUGGCAUGUUCACAUAAGUGUUGGCUGUUUUAUAUUAAUAGGACUAUGUGUUAUUUUUUUCGUUAAAUAUUGAAACAACUAGGGGACUUUUGUCCCGAAUAUGCAGUUUGUCAGAGGUCAUUCAGUGUAACGGGAUCAGGAAACCAUUUUGAAAUUAAAUAAACAAACAAUAGUCAUCAAGCAGUCUGUGACAUCAUCAAAAGGCCCCCUGAAGACCAUGUGGUGAUUCAGCAAGAUGCCCACAAACAAAGAGAAAGUUUCUAGGCACUGGCAGAAAGUUAAUGCAGACCCAGUAGCUAGGGCAAUGCAUUUAGCAAGGAGACGAGAAAGCAACCAGAGAAGAAAGCAAGCUGCCUUGGCUGCAAAUCCUGAUCACCUGUCAAUCAGGAAUUUAUCAGAUGCUGCAGCUGAGAAGAGGCGAAAGCAAUGGCGGGAAAAUCAAAGAAAACACAGGGCAGAAGCUAAACGUAUAAGGGCAGUUCUGGAUCUUAUUAUACAGUAUUACCACCUGUUCAGUUAAUUUUUACGAAUAUGAUAUGCAUUAUGGAAUAAAAAUGAUUAUUAAUUUCA